AUACCCCAAUGUCCCCAUGUCCCCAUCCCAGUGUCCCCAUCCAAUGUCCCCACAUCCCAAUGUCCCCAUGUCCCCAUCCCAGUGUCCCCAUCCAAUGUCCCCAUGUCACUUUGGGGACAUCUGCGGACAAUUUGCGGACACACUUUGGGGACAUUUGGGGUCACAUUUUGGGGACACUUUGGGGACACAAUUUGAGGCACUUCAAGGUUCUCUUGGGGACAUUUGGGGUCACAUUUAUGGGGACAAUUUGGGACACUUUGGGGACACAUUUUUGGGGUCACAUUUUUGGGACAUUUUGGGGACACAUGGGGACAUUUUGGGUCACUUCAGGGUCACUUUGGGGACACAUUUUGGGGUCACAUUUUGGGGACAUUUGGGGACACAUUUUGGGGUCACAUCUUGAGGUCACAUUUUGGGGACAUUUUGGGGUCACAUUUUGAGGUCGCAUUUUGGGGACAUUUGGGAACACAUUUUGGGGACAUUUGGGGACACAUUUUGGAGUCACAUUUUGGGGACAUUUGGGGACACAUUUUGGGGUCACAUUUUGGGGACAUUUGGGGACAUUUUGGAGUCACAUUUUGGGGACAUUUGGGGACACUUCAGGGCCCCUUUGGGGACAUUUGGGGACACUUUUUGCUGUC
rnacentral:lncRNA from 1 species